rnacentral:lncRNA from 1 species
AGAGAACUUUAAAACAGGCAAAGUGAGAAUACUAAUUGCAACUGAUCUAGCCUCUAGAGGACUUGAUGUCCAUGACGUUACACAUGUCUAUAAUUUUGACUUUCCACGGAAUAUUGAAGAAUACGUACACCGAAUAGGGCGCACGGGAAGAGCAGGAGUAUUCCAGAGGAGCUUGUAUCAAUGGCUGAGAGGUUUAAGGCACAUCAACAGAAAAGGGAAAUGGAAAGAAAAAUGGAAAGACCUCAAGGAAGGCCCAAGAAGUUUCAUUAAUGUCUUCUGUACUAGUGGGGUAGAGAAUUCAAGAUUUUUUAGAAAUAUAGUAAGACGGAAGUAUUGGACAUGUUGGCAGUAUGAAGAGACCGGAC